rnacentral:rRNA from 1 species
CCUACGGGAGGCAGCAGUGAGGAAUAUUGGACAAUGGGCGCAAGCCUGAUCCAGCCAUGCCGCGUGCAGGAUGAAGCAUCUAUGGUGUGUAAACUGCUUUUAUACAGGAAGAAACCUCCCGACGUGUCGGGAAUUGACGGUACUGUAAGAAUAAGGAUCGGCUAACUCCGUGCCAGCAGCCGCGGUAAUACGGAGGAUCCAAGCGUUAUCCGGAAUCAUUGGGUUUAAAGGGUCCGUAGGCGGGCCAGUAAGUCAGUGGUGAAAUCUCUCCGCUCAACGGGGAAAUGGCCAUUGAUACUGCUGGUCUUGAAUUAUUAGGAAGUAACUAGAAUAUGUAGUGUAGCGGUGAAAUGCUUAGAGAUUACAUGGAAUACCAAUUGCGAAGGCAGGUUACUACUAAUGGAUUGACGCUGAUGGACGAAAGCGUGGGUAGCGAACAGGAUUAGAUACCCUGGUAGUCCACGCCGUAAACGAUGGAUACUAGCUGUUGGGGGCAACUUCAGUGGCUAAGCGAAAGUGAUAAGUAUCCCACCUGGGGAGUACGUUCGCAAGAAUGAAACUUAAAUGAAUUGACGG